GACGAACGCUGGCGGCGUGCUUAACACAUGCCAGUCGAACGAUGAAGAAAAGAAUCGCAGCUUCGGCAGAAAUUCAUUUCGGAUUAGUGGCAGACGGGUGAGUAACGCGUGAGCAACCUACCUCUUACAAAGGGAUAGCCUCGGGAAACCGGGAUUAAUACCAUAUAACAUUGUGACGAAGCAUUUCGAUGCAAUCAAAGCUACGGCGGUAAGAGAUGGGCUCGCGUCCCAUUAACCGGAUGGUGAGGUAACGGCUCACCAUAGUGACGAUGGGUAACCGGCCUGAGAGGGUGAACGGUCACACUGGAACUGAGACACGGUCCAGACUCCUACGGGAGGCAGCAGUGGGGAAUAUUGCACAAUGGAGGGAACUCUGAUGCAGCGACGCCGCGUGAGUGAUGAAGGAAUUCGGUUCGUAAAACUCUGUUCUAUGGGAAGAAAAGGACUGUACCAUAGGAGAAAGCUCCGGCUAAAUACGUGC
rnacentral:rRNA from 1 species